UCUUCUUCAUGUAAUUCGGGG
ensembl:piRNA 21ur-6282 ncRNA